rnacentral:rRNA from 1 species
AUUGUACGCUGGCGGCAGGCUUAACACAUGCAAGUCGAGCGGAGAUGAGGUGCUUGCACCUUAUCUUAGCGGCGGACGGGUGAGUAAUGCUUAGGAAUCUGCCUAUUAGUGGGGGACAACAUUCCGAAAGGAAUGCUAAUACCGCAUACGCCCUACGGGGGAAAGCAGGGGAUCUUCGGACCUUGCGCUUAUAGAUGAGCGUAAGUCGGAUGAGCUAGUUGGUGGGGUAAAGGCCUCCCAAGGGGACGAUCUGUAGCGGGGCUGAGAGGAUGAUCCGCCACACUGGGACUGAGACACGGCCCAGACUCCUACGGGAGGCAGCAGUGGGGAAUAUUGGACAAUGGGCGGAAGCCUGAUCCAGCCAUGCCGCGUGUGUGAAGAAGGCCUUUUGGUUGUAAAGCACUUUAAGCGAGGAGGAGGCUACCUGGAUUAAUACUCUAGGAUAGUGGACGUUACUCGCAGAAUAAGCCACGGCUAACUACGUGCCAGCCGCCGCGGUAAGAC